UACAGGGGGGGCAAGCGUUGUUCGGAAUUACUGGGCGUAAAGGGCUCGUAGGCGGCCAACUAAGUCACACGUGAAAUCCCCAGGCUUAACCUGGGAACUGCGUGUGAUACUGGAUGGCUUGAAUCCGGGAGAGGGAUGCAGAAUUCCAGGUGUAGCGGUGAAAUGCGUAGAUAUCUGGAGGAACACCGGUGGCGAAGGCGGCAUCCUGGACCGGCAUUGACGCUGAGGAGCGAAAGCCAGGGGAGCAAACGGG
rnacentral:rRNA from 1 species